UCNCAGAAUUCAAGGAUGCCAAACCAUUG
rnacentral:piRNA from 1 species